GAUGAACGCUGGCGGCGUGCCUAAUACAUGCAAGUCGAGCGAAUGAUGAGGAGCUUGCUCCUCUGAUUUAGCGGCGGACGGGUGAGUAACACGUGGGUAAUCUGCCUGUAAGACGGGGAUAACUCCGGGAAACCGGGGCUAAUACCGGAUAACAAGAGAAGAAGCAUUUCUUCUUUUUGAAAGUCGGUUUUGGCUGACACUUACAGAUGAGCCCGCGGCGCAUUAGCUAGUUGGUGAGGUAACGGCUCACAAAGGCGACGAUGCGUAGCCGACCUGGGAGGGUGAUCGGCCACACGGGGACUGAGACACGGCCCAGACUCCUACGGGAGGCAGCAGUAGGGAAUCUUCGGCAAUGGGCGAAAGCCUGACCGAGCAACGCCGCGUGAGCGAUGAAGGCCUUCGGGUCGUAAAGCUCUGUUGUUAGAGAAGAACAAGUACGAGAGUAACCGCUCGUACCUUGACGGUACCUAACCAGAAAGCCACGGCUAACUACGUGCCAGCAGCCGCCGUAA
rnacentral:rRNA from 1 species